CGGACGGGUGAGUAACGCGUGAGAAUCUACCUUCAGGACGGAGAUAACCGCUGGAAACGGCGGCUAAUCCCCGAUGAGCCUACGGGUGAAAGCGUUAACGCCUGAAGAGGAGCUCGCGGCUGAUUAGCUAGUUGGUGGGGUAAGAGCCUACCAAGGCAACGAUCAGUAGCUGGUCUGAGAGGAUGGUCAGCCACACUGGGACUGAGACACGGCCCAGACUCCUACGGGAGGCAGCAGUGGGGAAUCUUCCGCAAUGGGCGCAAGCCUGACGGAGCUAUACCGCGUGAGGGAAGAAGGCCCUUGGGUCGUAAACCUCUUUUCUUGGGGAAGAAAACUGACGGUACCCAAGGAAAAAGCCUCGGCCAACUCCGUGCCAGCAGCCGCGGUAAUACGGAGGAGGCAAGCGUUAUCCGGAAUUAUUGGGCGUAAAGCGUCCGCAGGUGGCCUUUCAAGUCUGCGGUGAAAGAGCGGGGCUUAACCCCGGAGGAGCCGUGGAAACUGAAAAGCUAGAGUGCGGUAGGGGUAGAGGGAAUUCCCAGUGUAGCGGUGAAAUGCGUAGAGAUUGGGAAGAACAUCGGUGGCGAAAGCGCUCUACUGGACCGCAACUGACACUCAGGGACGAAAGCUAGGGGAGCGAAAGGGAUUAGAUACCCCUGUAGUC
rnacentral:rRNA from 1 species